rnacentral:lncRNA from 1 species
CUGACUGCUGAAAUAAACUACUCAAGAGCUGUCAGAGGAUGAGAAUGUAAGGCUAAAACAUAAUAAGAAUUCGAAUCAAUUUCCAUAUGCAGGAGACUUACGGUGUUAAGACGAUACCGAUCUUGUGAAUUUUUCCCAAGUCUCCGCAAACUUGACUCAAAGUAACCUAUAGCCUAAAACUUUCAAGAAGAUGCAUUUUUUUAGCAACUAAAAACCAAAAAUAGAGAAAAAUUGAAAAACAAAAUAAACAAAAC